rnacentral:rRNA from 1 species
AUUGAACGCUGGCGGCAGGCUUAACACAUGCAAGUCGAGCGGUAACAGAGAGAAGCUUGCUUCUCUCCUGACGAGCGGCGGACGGGUGAGUAAUGCCUAGGAAUCUGCCUAGUAGUGGGGGAUAACUUGCCGAAAGGUAAGCUAAUACCGCAUACGUCCUACGGGAGAAAGGAGGGGACCUUCGGGCCUUUCGCUAUUAGAUGAGCCUAGGUCGGAUUAGUUAGUUGGUGAGGUAAUGGAUCACAAAGACCGCGAUCCGUAACUGGUCUGAGAGGAUGAUCAGUCACACUGGAACUGAGACACGGUCCAGACUCCUACGGGAGGCAGCAGUGGGGAAUAUUGGACAAUGGGGGGAACCCUGAUCCAGCCAUGCCGCGUGUGUGAAGAAGGUCUUAGGAUUGUAAAGCACUUUAAGUUGGGAGGAAGAGCAGUUAACUAAUAUUUGACUGUUUUGACGUUACCGACAGAAUAAGCACCGGCUAACUUCGUGCCAGCCGCCGCGGUAA